GCUGACUCUUUUCAGACUCAGUCCGCCUACACCCAGGUGAAAUAAACAGCCAUGUUGCUCACACAAAGCCUGUUUGGUGGUCUUUUCACACGGACGCGCAUGAAAUUUGGUGCCGUGACUCCGAUUGGGGGAUCUCCCUUGGGAGAUCAAUCCCCUGUCCUCCUGUUCUUUGCUCUGUGAGAAAGAUCCACCUACCACCUCAGGUCCUCAGACCGACCAGCACAAGAAACAUCUCACCAAUUUCAAAUCCGGUAAGCAGACUCUUUUUACUCUCUUCUCCAACCUCCCUAUCCCUCAACCUCUUUCUCUUUUCAAUCUUGGCGCCACACUUCAAUCUCUCCCUUCUCUUAAUUUCAAUUCCUUUCAUUUUCUGGUAGAGACAAAGGAGACAAGUUUUAUCUGUGGACCCAAAACUCUGGCGCCGGUCACGGACUGGGAAGGCAGCCUUCCCUUGGUGUUUAAUCAUUGCAGGGACGCCUCUCUGAUUAUACAGUCACGUUUCAAGGGUGUCAGACCACGCAGGGACGCCUGCCUUGGUCCUUCACCCUUACGGCAAGUCCCGCUUUCCUAGGGGGCAAGAACCCCCCAAUCGCUUAUUUCCACACCCCAACCUCUUAUCUCUG
rnacentral:lncRNA from 10 species